rnacentral:rRNA from 1 species
GACGAACGCUGGCGGCGUGCUUAACACAUGCAAGUCGAACGGAAAGGCCCUGCUUUUGUGGGGUGCUCGAGUGGCGAACGGGUGAGUAACACGUGAGUAACCUGCCCUUGACUUUGGGAUAACUUCAGGAAACUGGGGCUAAUACCGGAUAGGAGCUCCUGCUGCAUGGUGGGGGUUGGAAAGUUUCGGCGGUUGGGGAUGGACUCGCGGCUUAUCAGCUUGUUGGUGAGGUAGUGGCUUACCAAGGCUUUGACGGGUAGCCGGCCUGUGAGGGUGACCGGCCACAUUGGGACUGAGAUACGGCCCAGACUCCUACGGGAGGCAGCAGUGGGGAAUAUUGCACAAUGGGCGGAAGCCUGAUGCAGCAACGCCGCGUGCGGGAUGACGGCCUUCGGGUUGUAAACCGCUUUCGCCUGUGACGAAGCGUGAGUGACGGUAAUGGGUAAAGAAGCACCGGCUAACUACGUG